AAAUAAUGUCUUUUGGGACCAAAUGCGAUGGUGAUAAUGUUUUCUUUUUUCUUCCCUCGUGCAAGAAUAAUCAAGUGUGGGAUCAAAAGCCAGGGAUGAAAAAGCAGGAUGAAAAUGAAAAAUGGGUUGAAAGGACAGUGGACAAAGGACAGUGAGAAGGCAGAGUCAAAAGCAUCUCCUCCAUGUUUUACAGAAGGCCUUCAGGCCAGUCCCCUGCAGUGUACCAGGAACGAACAGAUGAGUCAUCUCAGCAUACACACAACUUCAGAGUGUUCCACACACACUGGAAGGGAAUCACAGUGAUUUGAAUCUGGACAAUGGGGAUAUAUGACAUGCCCAAGGUAUUGCCAUCCCAAAUUGAUGAGGCUUAAGAGCCUCCUUUGUCAGAAGACCAGUGACUGAUCAGGAGGCAAGGCCAUGCUGCCACCGCCAGCUCACCAGUCCUGGGCACAGCCACCCUGCCAGCAGGGAAGGAGCCAGCCUGAGCAGCUCCACAGGGAUCUGUGAAAGGAAGUCCAGGCCUCCAGACAGUCUCAGUCCUGAGAGGACAACCAGAGCAGCAGAGGUUGCCAGUCUCAGUGGGCAUAUAACACAGACUGCACAGGCACGAGCCCACUGAAGAGGAACAUAACAGAGUCAAGCAAAAUGAAGCUGGCCUACCUCUGAAAACUUUCUAGGUUCAAGGAAUGGGUCAUUUGAGCACAUCCAGCAAAGAAUCCA